GAACUAGAGAGCUAGGCUCUGACUGGUCUACUACAGCAAGGAAUGUGCCAGCGGCCAAUCUGAUGAACAUGUGGCAGAAGAUUUGGCAAUGGGUGAAGAAACACUGAGAUUAAAAUGCAACCACAGGUGGAGGCUUCACCCAAACUUUUCAGACGGAUGUGAGAUACAAAGUUACCCAAGUAUAAAUGGUUGAAGAUUUAGGAGAGCCAGACAAGAAAGGCAGGAAAUGUGAUGUCACUUUAACUUCAAUAAACAGCAUCAGCAGCCGAAACCACAACUGCAGUAAGAGAUGCAACAACCGCACCGACAACAUCAAGAGCACCAGCAAAAAUACCUUUUGCAGCAG